AGUGAACGCUGGCGGUAGGCCUAACACAUGCAAGUCGAACGGCAGCACAGUAAGAGCUUGCUCUUACGGGUGGCGAGUGGCGGACGGGUGAGGAAUACAUCGGAAUCUACUUUUUCGUGGGGGAUAACGUAGGGAAACUUACGCUAAUACCGCAUACGACCUACGGGUGAAAGCAGGGGAUCUUCGGACCUUGCGCGAGUGAAUGAGCCGAUGUCGGAUUAGCUAGUUGGCGGGGUAAAGGCCCACCAAGGCGACGAUCCGUAGCUGGUCUGAGAGGAUGAUCAGCCACACUGGAACUGAAACACGGUCCAGACUCCUACGGGAGGCAGCAGUGGGGAAUAUUGGACAAUGGGCGCAAGCCUGAUCCAGCCAUACCGCGUGGGUGAAGAAGGCCUUCGGGUUGUAAAGCCCUUUUGUUGGGAAAGAAAAGCAGCAGGUUAAUACCCCGCUGUUCUGACGGUACCCAAAGAAUAAGCACCGGCUAACUUCGUG
rnacentral:rRNA from 1 species